ACUUAGAGGGAGGGCAAAGGGGGAAGGAGAAUAGCACACCAAGGAAAUCCUAGUGGCGAACGGGUGAGUAACACGGGAGCAACUUGCAAAGAAGCAGGGAUAGCCCACCGAAAGGUGGAUUAAUACCGUAUGUGAUCCCACAGGGCUUCCUGUGGUGAUUAAAGGCGGGGAUCCUUCGGGACCUGCCACUUCUGGAUGGGCUCGCGGCCUAUCAGCUUGUUGGUGAGGUAACGGCUCACCAAGGCGACGACGGGUAGCUGGUCUGAGAGGAUGAUCAGUCACACUGGAACUGAGACACGGUCCAGACACCUACGGGUGGCAGCAGUCGAGAAUCAUUCGCAAUGGGCGCAAGCCUGACGGUGCGACGCCGCGUGGAGGAUGACAGCUCUAGGGUUGUAAACUCCCNGUCAUNANAAAGAUAAAGGCUUGCCCGUUAAAUAGGCGGUCGGGGUCCUGAUUAGUAAUCCUCAAAGAAGGAAGAGGGACGGGCUUAUACUUUCGUUGCCCAGCAGCCGNCGCGUAAAUACACAAAAGUCUCCAAAGCGGUUUGUUCGGGAAUCACCUGGGGCGGUAAAAGCGUUGCCGUAAGCCGGCUCUGGGUAAGUCAGAUNGUGAAAAGCCCCGGGGCUUCAACCCUCGGAACUGCAUCCCGAUACUGCCAGGCUAGAGUAGUGGGAGGGGGAGUCUGGAAUUUCACGGUGUAGCAGUGAAAUGCGUAGAGAUCGUGAGGAACACUAGUGGCGAAAGCGAGACUCUGGACACUAACUGACGCUGAGGCACGAAGCUAGGUAGCGAAAGGGAUUAGAUACCCCUGUAGUCCUAGCAGUAACA
rnacentral:rRNA from 1 species